GUCUGGUUGGGUUCUGCUCAUAUGGAACCGGACAGCACGUUGUUGUCCACCACUGUUUGGCAGCGUUAUGUCUCCCAGACAAGGUUACAAAGACUUUUUGAAGUAAAACGGAGCAUUUCAUAUGGAGCUGAUUUCUAUCCUGGAGAUGAAACUGCAGUUCUGUGAGUAUCCCAAUUGAACCAUGAAGAAGAAACUGCGAACUGUAAGUCAUUGGUUUCCUUAUUGGGCACUGCAAUGUAUUUCGGGUUAACCUGUUUGGUGAACAUUGCUUUGAGUAGUGUGGAUGUUUUAUUGGUACAUGAGCUACUUAAGCGUUUGUGUUGGUACUAAUGGUUUCAAGUACAGGUUAGAAGUGUUGUAAAGCGUAAUAGAGAAUUCUGUGGGUACAACCAAAACAUACUUCAGGGUUGGUUGCUGAUUUCUUUAGUCUUCUUUCCUGCUACUCUCCUGAGCUCUUCAUCUUCAUCACAUGAGUGUCGCUUUACCGAUAAGGGCGUAUCUGAGUGAGCAGAGGUGCAUGAUGGGAUACAGGUCUGUCUGAAGUCUACUGGUCUGUAGACACGACCACUCAGGAGAAACCAAGGGUUUGAGAAUCCGUUUUGAUGUGUGUUUCAUGGACUAGAAUAUCCUUUAAGAUGGGGACAGGGAUUCCCAAAGGAUAAAACACCUGGGGGAGAUGUGAGUGCUCCUCAUCUCAACGACUGGAACACUACUUCGUUCUUGCACCAGAGAACCAUAGAGCUCAUUUCAACAUUCUCCUCCAUGUAUUGUGAAGCCUCAGCGACUCUUUCUCUACCUCCACAGCUGUCAGAGCACAACUCCAGUUCAGAAACGGUCACAGUUGGGGGCCAUUCCAAGAUGGUCUCUGAUUUCACCAGAGCCAUCUUCCAGGUCCAGCUGCCCUUCCAUCUUGAGGGUUGGAGUGUACAAAACACUGUACACAGAAAGCUUCUAUUUGGUCCAGUCCAGUCAGCCUACUGAGGAUGGAGAUAUUCUACAAGAGUGUUUGACAUUGUAUUUCUCUGUGGCAUCUGGGUUUGACAUGAGAUGGAAAUGGUUCAUUUGUCAGCAUGACAAGGGUUCGCUCUGGUAUUGGAGUUCUGCAUAAGUGUGUGACCUGGGUUCUACAUGUGUCCUGGGUUCGCUCUGGUGUUGGCGUUCUCCUGGGUUUGCUCUGGUAUUAGAGUUCUACGUUUGUCCUUGAUUCGAUCUGGUAUUGGAGUUCUACGUUUGUGUCCUUGAUUCGAUCUGGUAUUAGAGUUCAACGCGCGUGUCCUUGAUUCGAUCUGGUAUUAGAGUUCAACGCGUGUGUCCUUGGUUCGAUCUGGUAUUGGAGUUCAACGUGCGUGUGUCCUUGGUUCGAUCUGGUAUUGGAGUUCAACGUGCGUGUCCUUGGUUCGAUCUGGUAUUGGAGUUCAACGUGCGUGUCCUUGGUUCGAUCUGGUAUUGGAGUUCAACGUGCGUGUCCUUGGUUCGAUCUGGUAUUGGAGUUCAACGUGCGUGUCCUUGGUUCGAUCUGGUAUUGGAGUUCAACGUGCGUGUCCUUGGUUCGAUCUGGUAUUGGAGUUCAACGUGCGUGUCCUUGGUUCGAUCUGGUAUUGGAGUUCAACGUGCGUGUCCUUGGUUCGAUCUGGUAUUGGAGUUCAACGUGCGUGUCCUUGGUUCGAUCUGGUAUUGGAGUUCAACGUGCGUGUCCAGGGUACGACCUGGCAUGGGAUUCUACGUGUGUCCUGGGUUCAACCUGGUUUGCGUCCAUCUGAGUGACAUGGGGUAUUGGAACUGUCAACCUAAUCGAAAUGGAUGGAUGAGCACCUGGUUUGCUUAAGGACUUGGCCGACGUGAAGAGCCUGGAACGAUGCUCCGCAAUGAUAUCCCAACACACUGGACAGGAAGACGGGAGUUGGAUUGGAAUCAAGUGUAAAGAAAUGAUGCGAAAGGCUGGUUUGGAUCACUGACUACAAAUUAGAACUACACCAAUAAGGAACAAUGGAGGAAAUGUACCAAAUGGAUUCCACAAGAAGAGUCUGAAGUUGGAAAUCGACCUAAAUGGAUAUUCCAGAUGACCUUCAGAGCUGUAGUGAGGCGCCUCUUCCUACUUGCUGGAUGGCCAGCGAGCCCUGUGGACCGUGUCUUGUGUCGUAUUGCUUUCAGAUGCACAUCUUCUCUGACUGAAAUAUAUUUUGUUUCCUGGCUAGGUGAACCUGGGAGAUGGGUUCUGUGAAUCUGAAACGAUCUUUGAACUAUCCUAACUCGGGUCCGCCUCAAGCUGAAGUUGUGCUCUUCUUCAGCUGAGGACGUUUGGAAACCUUCAGUGGGGCUUCAAGAUGUAUAGAGGGGAACGUUGCAGUGGGUUCCAUGGUUCUCUGAUGGAAAACCUUAGUUGUAUUCUACUGGCUGAGAGGAAAAACACACGCAUCUUUCUCUUGGCGUCUCUUCCUUUUAGAAUCCCUGUCGCCAUCUUGAAGGAUAUUCCACUUUAUGUAACUGUCCUUACGGCUUCGCAAACUUUGGUUUCUCCAGAGGGGCGUGUCUACAGAAUUGUAUACUUCAGACGGCAUUGUAUCCUUGAAUGAAUCUCUGCUUACUCAAACCACACCUCCAUUAGUACGGCAACACUAUAGCGAUGGAGGUGCAUAGUCUUUGAGUAACUGGGGAGCAGAUAACGGGGAUUAGAAAACAAUGUCAUGUUAAGUCUGUAGAUCUUUAAAUCAUGAUUGUUAAAUGGGAGUUCAGGAGUUGAUUUAAUUAUGUGCAGUCCCUUAUCUCAAAUGCACACACGUCUCACUUAACCUCAGAUUUCUUCGAAAUGAUUCGCAAUUGUUGAUGCGGUUAGUUCAGGGUAGCGUUUGCAGGGUUGUGGAUGGCUCUCUGAGCUAGACAUUUUGGUUGUAUCUGUAGGGUUUGUACCCAGAAUUAUCAAGAUAAGAUGUUGUAUGGUCAAAUGUAGUCAGUUUUGCAUUGACGGAUUUCCUCGUUUUUAAGCAAGCCUUUGAGGGUUAAAUGUGUUGUGUGACAUACAAGGUAGUUCUGUGUACUUCGUAUUUUUUUUAGUGUUAUAACUUGUACACACUGGGUGCUUAGCAUUUUAGAGGUAACACUGAAUAGUAGUUAUAACCAACAGCAACAAACAGAUCGCCUUAAGGUAAGUCUGUUGGCUGUAUUUAUGUGACAAGAUCAUCGCUGGACUUCAGGAUCGUCCUCCGCUCAGCUCAAGGUGAGGCGCUGGUUACGUUCCUUACUGCUGGGUUGGUUCCGGCUGGAAUGUUCGGAUUCCAGUCGGACGGGUUUCCUUCCCGCCGGGAAGGUUCUGAGUGUAGUCCGUUAAUUUAGUUUCAAAAUGGUUGGCAUUGAAAACCUUAAGAACACACUUGGCAGUUAGUUGGAUUGAUUUAAGUCACCUGAAAGGGCAUCUGGCAGUACGUUCUAGUUUGGCAUCUCCGUAACUAUCACUUAUGAAAGUACCCUGUUGGGGUAUCUGGCAGUAUGUUAAGGAUUGACGUUUGCAUUACCUCGUCACCAUUGGAAAAAACAAUUCAAUUUCUGACCAAUCUUAAGAGACUUUAGAUUUCCCGUUCAAAAUACAUACGGGCGUCUAUGUUUUUCAUUUCUCAAAUUCUACCAAUUUUUUUCAAUAAUUGCGCUCCACGUUGACGGACUCUCGCUGCGUACAAAUCUGCGUCGUACUUGCGGGCGCAUUUCUAACCGUCAAUGAAGAUUUCAUCACUUUUAGGCACUUUAUGGCAUGGCUUCCAUAUAACCCAGCACCUUAAUAUGGUUAAGUAUAAUUUUACUAUUGAAUUUUUAAUAUUGAUACUGCUUAGCGUUAUUUGAUACUUUAACAGCUUUGGUACAUUCUAAAUAUCUGGUCCAUUAAUUGUCACAGAAGUUAAACCCUACCAAAUCGCAUGACGUUAGAUUAUUACCCUUUUGUGAUGGGUUAUGAACUGGAUAGUAUCCAACCGCUAAAAUAAUGGCUGUGUCCCACAUGUUGCAGUAGGAGAACUUUAUAACUGUACACGGUAAAUGGUAAGGUGUAGUUUGUCUCACGGUGUCUGCCUCCUCCCCAGAGCCGUACCUUCACCCUGUCGGAGUCCUCCACAGCAGUCAGAGCGCCGCUGCAGGAGGGUCAUGUAUUUUCAGAGGCUGUCUGAUUAGUUCAGGGGCCUCUGGAUGCGGCAACGGGGUAGACGGUGGCGGACUGGAC